rnacentral:ribozyme from 13 species
AAGAAAUAGAAGAAACAGAACAGAGAGAGGUGUGAAAAGUCUCAUAUUCACACGUAGCACCUUUUUUUCUUCUUGUUUGUUUGCUUUUGUGU